GGCGCUAUAGCCAAGUGGUUACGGCGACAGAUUCGAAUUCUUCUUCUCAUCUGUUCCUCUUUGAGGGCGCAGGUUCAAAUCCUGCUGGCGUCG